CGGCAGCGCCGGAGCAAUCUGGCGGCGAGUGGCGAACGGGUGAGUAAUACAUCGGAACGUGCCCAAUCGUGGGGGAUAACGCAGCGAAAGCUGUGCUAAUACCGCAUACGAUCUACGGAUGAAAGCAGGGGAUCGCAAGACCUUGCACGAAUGGAGCGGCCGAUGGCAGAUUAGGUAGUUGGUGAGGUAAAGGCUCACCAAGCCUUCGAUCUGUAGCUGGUCUGAGAGGACGACCAGCCACACUGGGACUGAGACACGGCCCAGACUC
rnacentral:rRNA from 1 species